UGUUACUGCCUAGUCAUCAAUUUGCUACCCUCACCGAAGCUGCUUCUCCCCUCUCUUUUCUUUUUCUCUCAUUUACAAACAAAACCCGAUAACCUCUUUGUCCCUUUUUCCCUGAUAAGCCAAACCAAACGAAACCAUUCGACUACUUUUCGAUAUAUUACUAUCAAACGCAGACCCACAAACGUCUUUCACCAAUUCUCACUUCCUUCCUCUCCUCUCCUAAUAUUGCGACUGUGUCCUCUACGCCAAUGAAAGAGAAAUUUGUUUAUAGCUAUUGAUGUGCAAUAUGAUGCAUGUCCCUAAAAAUCAGGCCGACUUCUCACAAAAAGCUUUCCUCUUCGCUUUUUGGACUGUAGUUCACCAUUAGGCCUACUUCCUCCCAUUGUAUAGCGUCCUGCUACCGUCUUUUCGAAGUCGCUACCAAACUCUAUUGUGUAAUGUAGCUGGAGCUGAAUUUGAAUAUGAGGGGACGUGCUUGGGAACCCAAAGAUGGAUGAUUUUGUUGAUGAUAAUUCAAGAAUCUCAUUUGGUCACCAAUUGAUACUUAUAUUAGAUGAACUCUAUGAGUCAGCCAAAGAAAGCUGCAAUGGUGAUUGUGUGAAUUUAAAUGAGAGCAACAUUAUAUUGGAUAUUCAAGUGAUCGAUGAGGAACAGCCUUUUCAAAUAACCCCAUAUUCCAAAAGCUGAAAAAUAAGCUAUACCAAUCUGGUACGUAAGCAUUUAAACAUAUUGUUAUCCUUAUUAAGUUAUAUAAGCAUUUAGACAAUUUUGAAAUUUUGCUAUUACUGUUGCUGCUUCAAAUAAACCUCAUGUAAGUUCUGCAUCUUGAAGAUCAAGUAAAGAAUACCUUAAGAGAAGAUUUUUUGAAGAGAACUCCAAUGAGAGUCUUCUUUCUAUAACAAAUCCUGCAUAUUGGUGUUAGGUAAGCCUUUCCCUCUUUGUUUAUGUGAGUUUUUUUUUUUUUUUUUUACUCUUUUUAAUAACAUAUAUAAAUGUCCUUAACAUUUUUCACAUUACUUUUGUUGUUUUCUAAAAUAAAUUUGUUGUUUGGUGUUAAUAUCCCUAUUUGAUGCAAAAAGCUUUGUUGUUUUCUAAAAUAAAUUUGAUGUUUGGUGUUUAUUUCCCUAUUUGAUGCAGAAAACAAAAUAUUAUAAACAAUUAUUCUUUUUUCCUUCUAUUCACAUAUCUGUUGUGCUUGGAAAGUUUUUCCCCUUUCAUUUCAAAAUGCAUGACAUCACCCCUCAUCUUUAUAAUAAUGUCAUGAUAUGUGAUAAGUAUCUUAUUUUAGCUUAGGGUAGAAGUUAUUUUUAUUGUGAACAUGAUGUGAUGAUGCAAUGAUGAGUUUAUUUUAUUUUGGCUUCGGAUAAUAGCCAUUCUUAUCGUGAACAAGGUCACUGACCUGAUCAAACCACUUUGCAACAAGUUUAGCCCUAUACCGAUCAAUAAAACAGUUAACCUUCUGUUUAAGCUUGUAAACCCACUUGUUACAAAUAACAUUUUGAUGUGUGAGAUGUGGUACAAGGGUCCAUGUGUGGUUAGAUAAAAGGGAAUCAAACUCAAGGUCCAUGGCUUUCCUCCAUUCCUCAGACACUAUAGCUUGAGAAUAACAUCGUGGAGCAGGUGGAAUUUGAGUGUUGUCUAUUGAAAUAUCGAAAAAUUGAAGAAAGCUAGUCUUUUUUUAAUUGGUUUCUUGUAAGUUGGUUAGUUUGUAUCUUUUCGGCUUACUCUGUUCAGUAUAUAACUAUAUAUAAGACGGUCUCUGUAACUUAGUUCAUUAUGUGAAUAUAGAAACGACUUUCCAAAGUCUUGGUUCAUCAGCUUAAAGUUCUAUGGUCUUCAUCUUCUAUG